GGGGCAUUGGCGCAGGGGCUAGCGCGCUUCUAUGGCAUAGAAGAGGUCAUCGGUUCAAAUCCGAUAUGCUCCACCA
rnacentral:tRNA from 1 species